UAUCGCGUUCGAUAUUUUUUGCAUUUAUGGAUAUUUGCACUGCAUACAUCUUAACAGUAAAUUGUUGAGGUUUAGUUCAUUUCGAUUUAAAUAACAAAAAAACCCAAAAUCAGAAAAAUUGUUUAGGUAUGGACAGUAACAAAAGAUCAUUGAUUAAAUUACGUUGUGAAAAAUUUCGUCAAACGGAUUGGCUCCACAGCAGCUGCUGAGGAUGCUGCGGAUGUGCUAAUUUCCAUUUGGCCCUAACUUUUUAGGCUCAUGUUUUGCCACGCUUUCAAGGCACACGUCUUCAACUUCGUCUACAAAAAACGCAAAAUCAGUCUCUGAAAUCCGGAUUUUAUUGGCAACAUGGAGCCAAGGCUUACCUCCCCAUAUUUUUUCGUAUUUUUGUGACAAAAAUGUCCACUCAUUGGAAAACUUGUGUUUGCGGUCAAAACUGUAAGCAAAAGAAUGUGCCUAUAUAUGGGAGGAAACUCAAAAGGCCAUACAAACCAAGACAAAAAUAGAGCUUAUAUACAUCCAAACGAAAUUAAACUUUAAAAACUACAGAUCACAAGGCAGUUCACUAGUAACAAGAUCACUUAAAAUGCUUAACUCUUAUUAACU